rnacentral:rRNA from 1 species
UCACGUCUUAUAAUAAGAAGAAAUCUUUCUCGGUAUCAACCCCCUUGCCCCUCAUUCUUUGAGAAUCAGAAGGAUCCUUUUCGAGAUUCCAUUUCUUCAUUUGGAAUUUGGGAUCUUCUAUCUUUGACUUAUUUUUUUGGCUUUAUUCUUUAUUUAUUUCAUUUCGAUUUUCCCUCUUCCUCUAUCCCUAUCCUCUAG